GGAUGCGAUCAUACCAGCACUAAAGCUUCGGAUCCCAUCAGAACUCUGAAGUUAAGCGUGCUUGGGCGAGAGUAGUACUAGGAUGGGUGACCUCCUGGGAAGUCCUCGUGUUGCAUUCC
rnacentral:rRNA from 16 species